AUGGACCGGAUUUUGAGUGAGAUGAAUGAGCUUCAGAAGGAAAUGCUUAGUUUACCAGAGUUAUGCGCACAGAGGAUGAUUGAGAAACUGAACAAAACCGGCGUCUUCUACAAACCCGGUAACCUGGAAGAAGACAAAGAGAAUUUAUACGGAGGCAUUAAUGAGUCUUCAAACGAUGUUGGACGUCCGAAAAAAGAGUUUGUAUAUCAAAAAGAUGAUUCAGACCGGUUCCGCACACCUUCCAAAAUGAAUUUGCAAAAGGAUGAUGACAGCGUUGAUGUAACUUCUCGUGGAAACACACCUUUUUACUGCACACCUGAGUACUGGGAUAGUUUCAAGGGUGAUAUGGAUGAUCCUAUCCAAGUACCAGAAGUAUCAGAUGAAAAAGCUGCCACAUCUUUAGGGACGGACGAGAUCGCAUCACAUGCAUCGCUUGGUUCUCAAGGAGUACAAGAGGAAGUGGAGGAGGUAAUUAAUGCAUACUCAUCAUAUUUGGUCGACAAAGUUAAUGAUGAUCAUUUCAUGUUGACAACUUGGAGGAUACAUUGGUUGCUUCACAUUAGACCCAGAAAGAAGACCGCCGGUAACGAUUAUGAAGCAGAGUCGCAUAGUAAUGGACCCGUGAAUAGAUGUGAGGACAAGUAUAUCAAAAAAUCAAAGAGAAAACAACUAGCAGAAGAUAUCCAAGAAGCAAAUGCAACCGGAAUUGUGAAUUAUCCGGAUGUUUCCAAUUGGCCUAUUCAAACGUAUGACAUGCCAAAACAACAUGAUGGGAAUUCGUGUGGAAUAUUUCUCCUUUGA
rnacentral:rRNA from 1 species